AAUGAACGUUGGCGGCAUGGAUUAGGCAUGCAAGUCGGGGGAAUCCCAGCAAUGGGGGAACCGGCGUAAGGGGCAGUAAGGCAUGGGUACCUACCUUGGGGUUCGGGAUAGCCAUCAGAGAUGGUGGGUAAUACCGGAUGACGUCGUGAGACCAAAGCUUCAUCGCCCUUAGAGGGGCCCAUGUGAUAUUAGCUAGUUGGUGGGGUAACGGCCCACCAAGGCGAAGAUGUCUAGCGGGUGUGAGAGCACGACCCGCGCCACUCGCACUGAGACACUGGCGAGACACCUACGGGUGGCUGCAGUCGAGGAUCUUCGGCAAUGAGCGCAAGCUUGACCGAGCGAUGCCGCGUGAGCGAUGAAGGCCUUCGGGUUGUAAAGCUCUUUAGUGGGGGAGAAAAGCCGCAAGGUGUGAUCUAUCCCAAAAAUAAGCACGGGCUAAGUUCGUGCCAGCCGCCGCCGUAA
rnacentral:rRNA from 1 species